rnacentral:rRNA from 1 species
ACACAUGCAAGUCGAGGGAGAAGCCCCUUUCGGGGGCAGAAAACCGGCGCACGGGUGCGUAACGCGUAUGCAACCUACCUUUCACAGGGGGAUAGCCCGAAGAAAUUUGGAUUAAUACCCCAUAAUAUUGUUGGAUGGCAUCAUCUGGCAAUUAAAGCUACGACGGUGGAAGAUGGGCAUGCGUCCUAUUAGCUAGUUGGAGUGGUAACGGCACCCCAAGGCUACGAUAGGUAGGGGUCCUGAGAGGGAGAUCCCCCACACUGGUACUGAGACAGGGACCAGACUCCUACGGGAGGCAGCAGUGAGGAAUAUUGGUCAAUGGUCGGAAGACUGAACCAGCCAUGCCGCGUGCAGGAAGAAUGCCUUAUGGGUUGUAAACUGCUUUUAUAUGGGAAGAAACAAGGCGUAACGUGUAACG